rnacentral:rRNA from 1 species
UACGUAGGGUGCGAGCGUUGUCCGGAAUUACUGGGCGUAAAGAGCUCGUAGGUGGUUUGUCGCGUUGUUCGUGAAAUCUCACGGCUUAACUGUGAGCGUGCGGGCGAUACGGGCAGACUGGAGUACUGCAGGGGAGACUGGAAUUCCUGGUGUAGCGGUGGAAUGCGCAGAUAUCAGGAGGAACACCGGUGGCGAAGGCGGGUCUCUGGGCAGUAACUGACGCUGAGGAGCGAAAGCGUGGGGAGCAAACCGG